UCUCUGAUGGCUCAGACAGGAAAGAACCUGCCUGCAAUGCAGGAGACCAGGGUUUGAUCCCUGGUUUGGGAA
rnacentral:tRNA from 1 species